GGGGACGGAAGGACAGCAGACAGAAGGAUAGAGGACGGAAGGAUGGAGGAUGGAAGGAUGGAAGGAUGGAGGAUGGAAGGAUGGAAGGAUGGAGGAUGGAAGGAUGGAAGGAUGGAAGGAUGACGGAAGGACAGGGACGGAAGGACAGCAGACAGAAGGAUAGAGGACGGAAGGAUGGAGGAUGGAAGGAUGGAAAGAUGGAGGAUGGAAGGACGGGGACGGAGAGAUGGAGGACAGACAGAAGAAUGGAAGACGGAAGGAUGGGGAUGGAAAGAUGAGGACAGAAGGACGGGGGACAGAAGGACGGGGGACAGAAUGAUGGAAGGAUGGGAGACAGAUAGAAGUAUGGAANNNNNUGGGGACAGAAGGAUGGAGGACAGAAGGACGGGGGACAGAAUGAUGGAAGGAUGGGGGACAGAAGCAUGGGGACAGAAGGAUGGGGGACGGAAGGACGGAGGACGGAAGGACGGGGUACACUGGGGUCACCACAACUUGGGGACACCAUGAUAUGAGGACACCACGACAUGGGGACACCAUGAUAUGGGGACACCAAGACAUGGGGACAGCAAGACAUGGGGACAGCAAGACAUGGGGACAUCAUGAC
rnacentral:lncRNA from 1 species